rnacentral:rRNA from 1 species
GAUGAACGCUGGCGGCGUGCCUAAUACGUGCAAGUCGAGCGAAUGGAUUAAGAGCUUGCUCUUAUGAAGUUAGCGGCGGACGGGUGAGUAACACGUGGGUAACCUGCCCAUAAGACUGGGAUAACUCCGGGAAACCGGGGCUAAUACCGGAUAACAUUUUGAACCGCAUGGUUCGAAAUUGAAAGGCGGCUUCGGCUGUCACUCAUGAAUGGACCCGCGUCGCAUUAGCUAGUUGGUGAGGUAACGGCUCACCAAGGCAACGAUGCGUAGCCGACCUGAGAGGGUGAUCGGCCACACUGGGACUGAGACACGGCCCAGACUCCUACGGGAGGCAGCAGUAGGGAAUCUUCCGCAAUGGACGAAAGUCUGACGGAGCAACGCCGCGUGAGUGAUGAAGGCUUUCGGGUCGUAAAACUCUGUUGUUAGGGAAGAACAAGUGCUAGUUGAAUAAGCUGGCACCUUGACGGUACCUAACCAGAAAGCCACGGCUAACUACGUGCCAGCCGCCGCCGUAA